rnacentral:rRNA from 1 species
GCCAGCAGCCGCGGUAAUUCCAGCUCCAAUAGCGUACGUUAAAGUUGCUGCAGUUAAAAAGCUCGUAGUUGAAGUUCUGGCUGUAUUGGGCCUCUGCACUUGAUGCGAAGGAACCAGCAGUCAUCCGCUUGCAAAUACAUGUUCUUCCUUAACCGGUAGACUGUAUAAGUAAGCAAUUUACCUUGAGAAAAACAGAGUGUUCCAGGCAGGUUUGUCCGGAAUGCAUUAGCAUGGAAUAAUAGAAUAUGACUAGAGUCGAUUUGUUGGUUAAAGGCUUUAGUAAUGAUUAAUAGGAACAAUCGGGGGCAUUGGUACUCGUCAGUCAGAGGUGAAAUUCUAAGAUUUGACGAAGACUAACUGAUGCGAAAGCGUUUGCCAAGAAUUGUUUUCAUUAAUCAAGAACGAAAGUUAGGGGAU